rnacentral:tRNA from 1 species
GGAGAGAUGGCUGAGUGGCCGAAAGCACCCGUUUGCUAAAUGGGCGUACUCCAAAAGAGUACCGAGAGUUCGAAUCUCUCUCUCUCCG